UGAAUACGAGACGCUAAGGCGUUGAAGUAGUGUAUGUCAUACUUCCAAGAAAAGCUUGCACUGUCAUAGAUAAAAAACGCCUGUACCAUAACCGACACAGGUGGGUAGGUAGAGUAUACUAAGGGGCGCGAGAUAACUCUCUCUAAGGAACUCGGCAAAAUAACUCCGUAACUUCGGGAGAAGGAGUGCCUUAUUUAUAAGGCUGCAAUAACAAGAUCCAAGCAACUGUUUAUCAAAAACACAGGUCUCCGCUAAGUCGUAAGACGAUGUAUGGGGGCUGACGCCUGCCCAGUGCCAGAAGGUUAAAGAAGUUGGUUAGCAAUAGCGAAGCUGAUAACUGAAGCCCUGGUGAACGGCGGCCGUAACUAUAACGGUCCUAAGGUAGCGAAAUUCCUUGUCGGGUAAGUUCCGACCCGCACGAAAGGCGUAAUGAUUUGGAUACUGUCUCGGAGAGGGGCUCGGUGAAAUAGACUUGUCUGUGAAGAUGCGGACUACCUGCACCAGGACAGAAAGACCCUAUGAAGCUUUACUGUAACUUGAAAUUGAAAUUGGACUUUAUUCGCGCAGUAUAGGUGGGAGGCGUUGAUUGUAAUCUUGCGGGAUUAUUGGAGCCAUCAGUGAGAUACCACCCUUGUAAUGUUAGAUUUCUAACUUUGAAUCAUUAUCUGGUCAAAGAACAGUUUCAGGCGGACAGUUUGACUGGGGCGGUCGCCUCCUAAACGGUAACGGAGGCGUACAAAGGUUUCCUCUGAACGGUUAGAAAUCGUAUCUAGAGUGUAAAGGCAUAAGGAAGCUUGACUGUGAGACCUACAAGUCGAGCAGGGACGAAAGUCGGUCUUAGUGAUCUGACGGUACUGAGUGGAAAGGCCGUCACUCAACGGAUAAAAGUUACUCUAGGAUAACAGGCUGAUCUCCCCCAAGAGUUCACAUCGACGGGGAGGUUUGGCACCUCGAUGUCGGCUCAUCGCAUCCUGGGGCGGUAGUACGUCCCAAGGGUUGGGCUGUUCGCCCAUGAAAGCGGUACGCGAGCUGGGUUCAGAACGUCGUGAGACAGUUCGGUCCAUAUCCGGUGUAGGCGUUAGAAUAUUGAGAGGAGCCUUCUUUAGUACGAGAGGACCGAGAAGGACAUACCUCUGGUGUACCAGUUAUCGUGCCAACGGUAAACGCUGGGUAGCUAUGUAUGGAGUGGAUAACCGCUGAAAGCAUCUAAGUGGGAAGCCCACCUCAAGAUAAGUAUUCUCA
rnacentral:rRNA from 1 species